CUCCGCCAUAGUUAUGUACAUAUGUACAUUCAUAUAUCAUUGCUGCCCCUUUCCCAGAAGCCCCUACACACAUCUAGUACAGAAUAUAUACAGUAUGCGUGCUUGCGAUGAAAAACAAACGCUUCACAGAUGUUUUUUCGCCAUUCCGCUGUUCUUCCUCAAGCCCAUCUGAAGUCAUCGAAUCAAGUUAAAGUGGACAAAAGUGUAUUUUUAGCCAUUGUGAUGGCCAAAUCCCAAUUAAUCAUUGUUCAGAGGAGCUAGAGAAUACUUUGACUUCAUAAAAUACAUGUUAUAAAUAUUUUUUAUAAAACAAUUUAGUGCUUAGUAAAUAAUAUUAAUCACAACAAAUAAACUAUGGGUUUAAAAAUA